AUAUUUUAAAGUAAACACACUUUCUUAAUAUCUUCAAUAUUAAACUUUAAAAAUAAGCUAUUAAAAUA
rnacentral:tRNA from 2 species